GACGAACGCUGGCGGCGUGCCUAAUACAUGCAAGUCGGACGAGUUGCGAACGGGUGAGUACCGCGUAGGAACCUACCUAUUAGAGUGGGAUAACUAUUGGAAACGAUAGCUAAUACCGCCUACUAGUAGAUGGACCUGCGUUGUAUUAGCUAGUAGGUAGGGUAAAGGCCUACCAAGGCGACGAUCCCUAACUGGUCUGAGAGGAUGAUCAGUCACACUGGAACUGAGACACGGGCCAGACUCCUACGGGAGGCAGCAGUGGGGAAUAUUGGACAAUGGGCGAAAGCCUGAUCCAGCCAUGCCGCGUGUGUGAAGAAGGUCUUCGGAUUGUAAAGCACUUUAAGUUGGGAGGCGUUACCAACAGAAGAAGCACCGGCUAACUCCGUGCCAGCAGCCGCGGUAAUUC
rnacentral:rRNA from 1 species